rnacentral:rRNA from 1 species
AUGGCUUAUGUAUCAGGGCUUCGGCGCCAGCUCAGCGGUCGGCUGCCGGCCCUCAUCUCGCCAUUGACCUUGCUGGCCGAAGGGCGGCCAUCUAUCUUCCUCCCGGCCUGGAGCCUUGAAGGGAGGCAGUUCAUCUCUGGUUUGGAGUCCCCAGCUUCUUCUAAUGGUAGCGGAUGGAGCGGCUGUGGAGAUCCCGGCGCACCAAGUGGUAGCGUCCCCGGCGGCGACGGGAUUGGUUCUGUUCCAGAGUUGAUUAGGACCCGAUUGAGUUUCUUAUUUCCUGUUUGGGGUCCUCCAUGCAAAAACCAGGGACCUAGUGGUAGUUUCCGUUUAUGUUUGGGUCCUGUUGUAAUCUGCUUUGUACUAUCACCGUUUAAGAAUUAA